UUAGAAUACCGGCCUGUCACGCCGGGGGUCGCGGGUUCGAGUCCCGUCCGCUCCGCCA
rnacentral:tRNA from 4 species